rnacentral:rRNA from 1 species
CGCUAUCACUCCUACGGAGGCAGCAGUGGGGAAUAUUGCACAAUGGGGGAAACCCUGAUGCAGCCAUGCCGCGUGUGUGAAGAAGGCCUUCGGGUUGUAAAGCACUUUCAGUAGGGAGGAAGGUAGUGUAGUUAACACCUGCAUUAUUUGACGUUACCUACAGAAGAAGCACCGGCUAACUCCGUGCCAGCAGCCGCGGUAAUACGGAGGGUGCGAGCGUUAAUCGGAAUUACUGGGCGUAAAGCGCAUGCAGGCGGCCUGUUAAGUCAGAUGUGAAAGCCCGGGGCUUAACCUCGGAAUUGCAUUUGAAACUGGCAGGCUAGAGUCUUGUAGAGGGGGUAGAAUUUCAGGUGUAGCGGUGAAAUGCGUAGAGAUCUGAAGGAAUACCAGUGGCGAAGGCGGCCCCCUGGACAAAGACUGACGCUCAGAUGCGAAAGCGUGGGGAGCAAACAGGAUUAGAUACCCUGGUAG